rnacentral:rRNA from 1 species
AGCAGCCGCGGUAAUUCCAGCUCCAAUAGCGUAUAUUAAAGUUGUUGCAGUUAAAAAGCUCGUAGUUGAAUUUCGGGAUUAGUGCGCUGGUCAUGCCUUUGGUAUGUACUGGUGUUACUGAUUUCUACCUUCUGAAGAACCGUUAUGUCAUUUAUUUGGUGUGGCGGGGAACCAGGACUGUUACUUUGAAAAAAUUAGAGUGUUUAAAGCAGGCUCGCGCUUGAAUACAUUAGCAUGGAAUAAUGAAAUAGGACGUUUGACCCUAUUUUGUUGGUUUCUAGGAUCGACGUAAUGAUUAAUAGGGAUAGUUGGGGGCAUUAGUAUUCAAUUGUCAGAGGUGAAAUUCUUGGAUUUAUUGAAGACUAACUACUGCGAAAGCAUUUGCCAAGGAUGUUUUCAUUAAUCAAGAACGAAAGUUAGGGGAUCGAAGACGAUCAGAUACCGUCGUAGUCUUAACCAUAAACUAUGCCGACUAGGGAUCGGAUGAUGUUAUUUUAAUGACUCAUUCGGCGCCUUACGG